rnacentral:lncRNA from 1 species
AUUAAAAAACCUUUGAAUUACGAUUAAAUGGGUGAUGUUCAAAUAUAAAGAGAAAAGAAAAAAAAGAAGAAGAAGAGAGAUUCAUCUAAUAGAAUUGGAGUCUACGGUGGUCUCCUUCCAAAUCUGGAUGGGGGGUUUAACGCUUAGACUAAGGCAAUCAGAUGAUUGAAAAGGAGAUCAGGAGACAUUACCUCCUAGUUUGAAGGUGAAAUUUGAAGAGUUUGUGGCCAAUUUAUGCAAAACCAAUAUGAGAUUUGAAAAGAGAAGGAAGAUAGGAGAGUUUUG